rnacentral:rRNA from 1 species
UACGAAGGGGGCUAGCGUUGCUCGGGAAUUACUGGGCGUAAAGCGCACGUAGGCGGACUCUUAAGUCGGGGGUGAAAGCCCAGGGCUCAACCCUGGAACUGCCUUCGAUACUGGGAGUCUUGAGUGUGGAAGAGGUUGGUGGAACUGCGAGUGUAGAGGUGAAAUUCGUAGAUAUUCGCAAGAACACCAGUGGCGAAGGCGGCCAACUGGUCCAUUACUGACGCUGAGGUGCGAAAGCGUGGGGAGCAAACAGG